rnacentral:sRNA from 1 species
AGGCCAGCUGUACACGCAGUCGGGGCACCAGCCCAGUCUGUCAAUGUGGCAUGACUCCAUCCACUUGGAGGGUGGAUGCGAGCAGCUGUUUAUACCCAUUUCCUCUCUCAGUCCCUUUUCAAACCCUAACCCCAGUUAUUCUGUUUCCUCAGCUGAACUAGAUGCAGAGCACGCCCAGAAGGUCCUGGAAAUGGAGCACACCCAGCAAAUGAAGCUGAAGGAGCGGCAGAAGUUUUUUGAGGAAGCCUUCCAGCAGGACAUGGAGCAGUACCUGUCCACUGGCUACCUGCAGAUCGCAGAGCGGCGAGAGCCCAUAGGCAGCAUGUCAUCCAUGGAAGUGAACGUGGACAUGCUGGAGCAGAUGGACCUGAUGGACAUAUCUGACCAGGAGGCCCUGGACGUCUUCCUGAACUCGGGAGGAGAAGAGAACACUGUGCUGUCCCCCGCCUUAGGUAGGGUUGACAAAUGCCACUCCCCUCCCAAGGGGAGAUGUGAGAACCAUCUGCCAGUCGCUUACACAUAAACCCCCAAGCUCACAGCCAGCUCCUGGCUCCCUAACCCCACGGUUCCAGCAGCUGCAACAGUGGUGUGGUUCCGUCAUGAAUUCUUCUCAAAGAUUUGACAUGCUCCACUCUGGUAACUUUGGUGAGUUGAGAGCUUUCUUGUUUUCCCUCCUUUACCACCCAGAAAUCCAUUUGAGUCUGCUCCUUGUGGUUAAGGACUGGCGUUUGCAUGGAGAUGCGGACUCUCCUGCGUGGCUCACGGGAAACUCUUCCCUCUUCGUGUGACAGGCAUUUAGGGACAUGCCUGCCAUGGGCAA